rnacentral:rRNA from 1 species
UAUGAACGCUGGCGGCGUGCCUAAUACAUGCAAGUCGAGCGAACGGACGAGAAGCUUGCUUCUCUGAUGUUAGCGGCGGACGGGUGAGUAACACGUGGAUAACCUACCUAUAAGACUGGGAUAACUUCGGGAAACCGUAGCUAAUACCGGAUAAUAUUUUGAACCGCAUGGUUCAAAAGUGAAAGACGGUCUUGCUGUCACUUAUAGAUGGAUCCGCGCUGCAUUAGCUAGUUGGUAAGGUAACGGCUUACCAAGGCAACGAUGCAUAGCCGACCUGAGAGGGUGAGCGGCCACACUGGAACUGAGACACGGUCCAGACCCCUACGGGAGGCAGCAGUAGGGAAUCUUCCGCAAUGGGCGAAAGCCUGACGGAGCAACGCCGCGUGAGUGAUGAAGGUCUUCGGAUCGUAAAACUCUGUUAUUAGGGAAGAACAUAUGUGUAAGUAACUGUGCACAUCUUGACGGUACCUAAUCAGAAAGCCACGGCUAACUACGUG